AGCUCCAAUAGCGUAUAUUAAUGUUGUUGCAGUUAAAAAGCUCGUAGUUGGAUUUCUGGUGGGAGCGGCCGGUCCGCCCCUAACGGGGUGUGCACUGCGCUGUCUCUGGCCAUCCUUGUGGAGAGCGUCUCGCGCAUUAAGUUGUGCGGGUCGGGAUCCGCAUCGUUUACUGUGAAAAAUUAGAGUGUUUAAAGCAGGCGUUUGCUGUGAAUACAUUAGCAUGGAAUAAUAAGAUAGGACUUUGGUACUAUUUUGUUGGUUUGCAUACCGAGGUAAUGAUUAAUAGGGACAGUUGGGGGUAUUCGUAUUUAAUUGUCAGAGGUGAAAUUCUUGGAUUUAUGAAAGACGAACUACUGCGAAAGCAUUUACCAAGGAUGUUUUCAUUAAUCAAGACGAAAGUAGA
rnacentral:rRNA from 1 species